rnacentral:rRNA from 1 species
GAUGAACGCUGGCGGCGUGCCUAACACAUGCAAGUCGAGCGAACGGACGAGACGCUUGCUUCUCUGCUGUUAGCGGCAGACGGGUGAGUAACAUGUGUAUAACCUACCUAUCAGACUGGGAUAACCUCGGGAAACCGGAGCUAAUACCGGAUAAUCUUUUGAACCGCAUUGGUCAAAAGUGAAAUACGGUCUUGCUGUCACUUCUAGCUGCAUCCGCGCUGCAUUAGCUAGUUGGUAAGGUAACGGGUUAGCAAGGCAACGAUGCAUAGCCGACUUGAGAGAGGGAUCGACCACACUGGAGCGGGGACGCGGUCCAGAGUCCUGCGGUAGGCAGCAGUAGGGAAUCUGCCGCAAUGGGCGAAAGCCUGGCGGAGCAACGCCGCGUGAGUGAUAGAGGUCUUGGGAUCGUAAAACUCUGUUAUGAGGGAAGAACAGAUGUGUAAGUAACUGUGCACACCUUGACGGUACCUAAUCAGAAAGCCACGGCUAACUACGUG